rnacentral:lncRNA from 1 species
UUAAUCAUUAUUUUUCCACAACUUUUUCUUCUCAAUUUCUCUCUCAAUAUUCAUCUUCUCCCUCACCCUCACUAAAGUUCAUCUUCACCACCAUUUAGAAUUUCAUAUUGAAGUUCUAAAAUGGUGGAACUUAGCCAUCAACAAUUUCUAUAUCAUCAUCAAUAAUUAUCAAUCAACAAUUCAAGCAUUAUCAUCAAAAAUCGUCCAUCAACAAUUCCUACACUAUCAUCAACAAUCAUCAUCCAAGAUUCAUCAAUUCAAACUUAUUCAUCAAUAUUCUACAUCCAAAAUUCAUCUUCUACAUUAAUUUAUCAUAAAAAAUAAUCAUCAAGCUUGGAAUUUAAUUGGAUUAAAAGAGCUUAUUCUUGAAGUAUUCCG